UCACUCUCAACUUUUUAUGCCCUCCACUUAGAAGGUCACCGGUCCCAGGGUGGGGCAAGAUUCUAGAAAAAGGAGCAGAAAUAUUAGGCCCAAUAGUCGCAGAAGGUAUAGCAGAUGCCAUUGCUGGAAAUAAAGGAACCACAGAAGCACCUAAAUCAUCAAGAAAAAAGCGACAGCUCUUGACAGAAGAAUGUUGCGAUAAAGCCUGUACUUUGGAUACGCUAAUGCAAUAUUGUCCAAGUUAAUACACGCAAAGAUUAAAAUAAAUAUAUGCGCGUGACAACAAUAAACAUGA